GACGAACGCUGGCGGCGUGCUUAACACAUGCAAGUCGAACGGAAAGGCCUGCUUUCCCUUGUGGAUUGCGGGUACUCGAGUGGCGAACGGGUGAGUAACACGUGAGUGAUCUGCCCCCAACUUGGGUAUAAGCCUGGGAAACUGGGUCUAAUUCCCGAUAGGACUGCAGGGUGGUGCCUGUGGUGGAAAACGAUUUUCUAGUGGUUGGGGAUGAGCUCGCGGCCUAUCAGCUUGUUGGUGGGGUAAUGGCCUACCAAGGCGGCGACGGGUAGCCGGCCUGAGAGGGUGGACGGCCACAUUGGGACUGAGAUACGGCCCAGACGCCUACGGGAGGCAGCAGUGGGGAGUAUUGGGCAAUGGGCGGAAGCCUGAUGCAGCGACGCCGCGUGGGGGAUGACGGCCUUCGGGUUGUAAACUCCUUGCGACCGCGAGGAAGCCACCUGGUUGGAAGGGUGGUGACGGUAGUGGUAGAAGAAGCACCGGCUAACUACGUG
rnacentral:rRNA from 1 species